rnacentral:tRNA from 1 species
GCCUUCUUAGCGCAGCUGGCAGUGCACCCAUCUUGUAACCUGAAGGUCCUGAGUUUGAGCCUCAGAGAAAGCA